rnacentral:lncRNA from 1 species
GGGAGAGGCCGGGGAGGGAGGCCAGAGAGCCAGGGAGGACCUUCCCUUGGGGCCACCAGCUCCCCUCUACGCUGUCUUCCUCCUGCCCUGGCCUCCUGGCUUGUCCACCUGUUGCCAGUUCUCAGGGUCCAAACAGCCCAGUGGCCCAGGGGAGGGCAGCGGUGGCCCAGGAGGGUGUCCCUAGUGCCUUGAGGGUGGAAGGAAGCCACACACCACAUCCCCACCCUGUGGCCCCAGGCAUGUCCCUAACCUGGUGUCACCAGGCACGCAGCUCAGCCAAGUGCCCCUUGCACAAGUCACUCAGUGCUGUGAGCUCAUUCCCCGGCCCCACCUUGGGUGACAGACUGACCCACCCUGGUGUCCCAUCCCCUCGCCAUCCCCUGCCAGGCCCCGGCCACUUGGCCUGGCCCUUCACAUCCAGAUGGACGUUGGAAAGGCUUCGUCACUUGGGGGCCUCUGGGGAGGGUGGGCCAGCGGCCAGGCCGGUCCUCGCUCCACCUGGGCCGUGUGGUGAGCAGGCCUGGUCCAGCCGCCCCUGCCCCGGGGUCCAGGGCCAGACCCGAGGGGCGAAGCAGGCUGGUGAGUUCAGAGACUCGCCCACAGCCUCUGCCUUCCCUCCCGGGCCGAGGCCGGCCUUCCCCUCGGCAGGUCCGCUGUGGAGCUGCUGUUGAUCAGCAGCAGAGGGCGGGCUCUUGCUUCCCAGAGCCAGGCUCCUGCAUCACCUUGGCUUUGAGCAGUUCGGAUCUCGGGCAGGAGGUGGCCAUCUUAGAGAGAUGACCUCAAAUCUGAAUCUUACGUUCUUUGCUUGGCACUUUAAAGUGUCAAGGGGGGAGUUUGACACCCUGGCGACAGCACCUUCUCCCGUGUCAAGUAGGACAGCAAAGCUGCCGUUGCUCUUCCUGCUUUAUAGAGGAGAACUGGAGGCCCAGAGAGGCUGAUCGACUUGCCUGCAGUCACACAGCUGGGAGUGGGGGUAGGAGGAUUUGAACUCAUGGGCAGCUUGCAUCUCUCUGUGGGUCCCAGGAUGCAUGCAAGGAUGGCCCUGGGACUCUGCCCCAGAGGCUGCCUCUGUUACAGUGGGUCUUUUGGAUGAGAGUCGGGGCCUCCGUUCCCCUGCUGUGACCACGGUGUGGAGUGUCUCACGAGGUAUUUGUCUCCUGGAAACAGUAGUGAGCCGUGUGCCCGCGUCCUGUUAGACGCGUCCAGAGCUUUAGCUAUUCUAAUCUCACGGCCUCUUUAUAAGCCAGAGGUGUUGGCCUCUAGAUUUUGGAGGUGAGGAAAUGAAGGCUUGCAAGUCACCGUGCCUGCCGUGGGGUGGCCGGGGCUGUCCCCUGGACCAGGAGGCUGGACAGUCGAGGCCCUGAACUUCGAUCUUCAGAUCUGGAAGGUUCCUUGAGGACAGCCUACGGGUUGGCUUACACGUGGGAGACUGAGGCUCAGAGAGGGGACGUGAGCUGGGAGGGGCCUGGAACCUGGCCCCUCUGUUGCACUGUACCCCGUGGCCCCACUGUCCCUCUGUACCCUGUGGCCCCACUGUCCCUCUGUACCCCGUGGCUCCUGCCCCGGGAAUUGUCUGGCUCCUCUCUCUGGCACUAGAGCCAAGAAUGCCCCUUUGUCCCCGGCCUCUGCCGGUCCCCGCCUCAGUGCUGUGAAAGCUCUGAUUGUCCCUGGAGCCCCUGGAUCCGGGCUGCCCACACUGCCACCCCCGCCCCUGCCUGCUGUGGGCCCUUUGUGUCCCCGGAUCUCGGCACAACAGCCGGCUGUUGAUCCAGAAAGCCCAGCGUGACCGGGAGGGGGCAUGCCAGCCCACUGCCCGGGAGGACUGUCCCUGCCCCGCUGGCCAUGGGCACCACAGAGAGGGAAGGAGGCCCAGGCGGGGGGAUUCCAGGGUGGCCAGCCCUGGUCAGCGACCCUGUGACUCCCUGCUGGUCCCUUAGUGUCC